rnacentral:rRNA from 1 species
UACAGAGGGGGCAAGCGUUGUUCGGAAUUACUGGGCGUAAAGCGCACGUAGGCGGCUUUGUAAGUUAGAGGUGAAAGCCUGGAGCUCAACUCCAGAAUUGCCUUUAAGACUGCAUCGCUUGAACACGGGAGAGGUGAGUGGAAUUCCGAGUGUAGAGGUGAAAUUCGUAGAUAUUCGGAAGAACACCAGUGGCGAAGGCGGCUCACUGGACCGUUGUUGACGCUGAGGUGCGAAAGCGUGGGGAGCAAACAGG